rnacentral:rRNA from 1 species
CCAAUAGCGUAUAUUAAAGUUGUUGCAGUUAAAAAGCUCGUAGUUGAAUUUCGGGAUCAAGAAAUCGGUCAUGCCUCGGUAUGUACUGGUUUUAUUGGUUCUCACCUUCUAAAGAACCAUAAUGUCAUUCAUUUGGUGUUAUGGGGAAUUAGGACUGUUACCUUGAAAAAAUUAGAGUGUUUAAAGCAAGCUUACGCUUG